ensembl:lncRNA
UUCCUGUUUGGGAAAUAGUCAGGGCAGAAACAAAGUUCAAGUUCUAGUGCUUUCCAUCCUGACGACCGUCCACAGCCUCACACUCAGCGUGGGUUUUCUUUGAAAGCGGACGGGGCCAGACAGCGGGGACGUUCUGGGGGUCCCGGAUAUUGUGAGACCACAGAGAUGCCUGGAGGAAUCCUCAGGGACCCUCAGCCCAGGGCCACCUUCACACUGGCUGAGGACAGACAUUGCUGAACAACCGGAAAGGUUAACACACGAGAUUCCCAGAAAGCAUUCAUGGUUAGAAAUUGGCCAUCAGAGACAAGCAAUGGAAACCUGCUAUCAGGCUCAAGGUUGGUGCUGGGCCUCUUCCUGCACCCUGACCCCUGGAACCUGGUUCACAUUUAGCUCUUUACCACCUAAGCCUUACCAGCCUGCUUUGUGUACCCAAAGGCAGUGCAUUGAGCACAGGCUACUAUGGUGAAAAGUCAAGGUCUCUGCCUCCAGGAGCAUAUACAGUGGAACAGGGACUCAAUGGACAUGAGUUUGAGCACGCUCUGGGAGAUGGUGAAGACAGGUCUUCCUGAUCUUGAUAUUGCUUACAUGGACUCUUUUGCACUUGACUCUUUCUGGCUCAAAUGCAGGAGCACAGUCAUGAAUUUUUCUCUAAACAGAACUGGUAGCUAAAAUCCUACAUCUUCUGGUCUGGCUUAUUCACUGGCUGCACCCCAGGAAGUAAAGUGUUGAAGACAAGAUGACGAGUGUGGUUUGGCCUGGUAGAAAGAAUAUUGACCAGUGAAUUAGUGGAUUAUUGAUGCUUCCUCUGCUCUUCUGUGGCCGUCAGGAUGGAAGUUGUAGCUUGAGACUAAGCUCUCUACCUUCUGUGGUUGCCCAAGGGUUCUGUCCCUCGAGGCUACGAGCUCUGUCAUUGAAUCAUAAACACAGGCUGUUCCUACUGAGAAGGAUGUGGGAAGUCCGUUUCACUAAACACUCUCAUGGACCCCUCCUUUGAUACUGAGUGGAGGAGGUUGGAACAUCUAAAACAUUUCAUUUUGCAGAUGGAAAUGCAUAGGUGAAGACAGAUGAGGUGACUUACCAGGGACAAAAAGUCAGUACUGGUUUCAAACUUGGCUUCAUGUUGUAAUCACUUGAGAAGCAUUAAAAAUGCUGUUUUGAGGGUACUAACCCCACAGAUUCUGAUUUAACUGGUCUGGGAUGUUGGGGGUCAGUGAGUUUUAAAAGCUCCAGGUGAUUCUCAUGUGCAGACAGCACUGAGAACCCGAAGGCAGUUAGCGGUUAACCAAGAAAUCAAACACAGAUGUUCCAUCCCAAGACCUACCCUGAGUAAUUAAUUUUCAAAAGGAGGGCUUUGCACGUCACUGUGUCAUGGAAAAGUUGGAGGAGGAACCACUCUCAGAGUUCUGUCUGUGGUUUUUACCAUCAUACUCAAACUCUUCCCACUGCUCACCAAUAACUUUUUAGCUGCCAACUCUAGGGAGGAAUCCUCAGUUUCAGUACCUCUGAAGAAGUUGCAGUAUGUUUUCUCAUAGAGUAGGAAGCAAUCGUGAAAGUUAUGUUUUUUCAGUAAUCAUGUACGGAUGUGCAAGUUGGACCAUAAAGAAGACUGAGUGCUGAAGAGUUGAUGCUUUUGAACUGUGGUGCUGGAGAAAACUCUUGAGAGCUCCUUGGGGAACAAGGAGAUGAAACCAGUCAAUCCUAAAGGAAAUCAGUCCUGAAUAUUCAUUGGAAGGACUGAUGCUGAAGUUUCAAUAUUUUGGCCACCUGAUGCAAAGAGCUGACUCUUUGGAAAAGACCCUGAUGCUGGAAAAGAUUGAGUACAGGGGCAGAAAGGGGUGAUAGAGGAUGAGAUGGUUGGGUGGUGUCACUGACUCAAUGGACAUGAGUUUGAGCAAACUCUGGGAGAUGGAGAAGGACAGGGAAGCCUCAUGUGCUGUAGCCCAUGGGGUUGUAAAGAGUCGGACAUGACUUAGUGACUGAGCAACAGGAAACUUAAAAAUUUCUUAAUAAAAAUAAAUAUUAUGCUUGCUGUUACUGAAGA